CCUACGGGUGGCAGCAGUGAGGAAUAUUGGUCAAUGGGCGGAAGCCUGAACCAGCCAAGUAGCGUGCAGGAUGACGGCCCUACGGGUUGUAAACUGCUUUUAUACGGGAAUAACGCGCCUUACGUGUAGGGCUUUGCAUGUACCGUAUGAAUAAGGACCGGCUAAUUCCGUGCCAGCAGCCGCGGUAAUACGGAAGGUCCGGGCGUUAUCCGGAUUUAUUGGGUUUAAAGGGAGCGUAGGCCGCAUGUCAAGCGUGCUGUGAAAUGUCCGGGCUCAACCCGGGCCUUGCAGCGCGAACUGGCGUGCUUGAGUCCGCGGAAAGCAGGCGGAAUUCGUCGUGUAGCGGUGGAAUGCUUAGAUAUGACGAAGAACCCAGAUUGCGAAGGCAGCUUGCUGCAGCGGAACUGACGCUGAUGCUCGAAAGCGCGGGUAUCGAACAGGAUUAGAUACCCUGGUAGUC
rnacentral:rRNA from 1 species